AUACGGAGGGUGCGAGCGUUACUCGGAGUCACUGGGCGUAAAGCGUCCGUAGGCGGUCGGGUAAGUCGGGUGUGAAAACCCCGGGCUCAACCUGGGAAGUGCACCCGAUACUGCUCGACUCGAGUGCGGGAGAGGAUGGCGGAAUUCCCGGUGUAGCGGUGAAAUGCGUAGAGAUCGGGAGGAACACCAGUGGCGAAGGCGGCCAUCUGGCCCGCAACUGACGCUGAGGGACGAAAGCGUGGGGAGCAAACAGGAUUAGAAACCCUAGUAGUCC
rnacentral:rRNA from 1 species